rnacentral:lncRNA from 1 species
GGCCAAGUCAGCCCAUGACCAGAGCCCACGUGUGGCAGAUCUAUUCAUGGCUGCAUUGGCUGCUGCCUGCAGCGUUCCUUUGGAGAGGAACAGCUGUCGGGAAGCCAAGCAGCAGGUCGCUCAGCAGGUAGCUGAAAAGCUUGUGAAGGAAGAGAGCCGACAGCUUGGGAGGCUGCUGGGGAGGCUGGAGCAGCCGUGCUGCUCCUUGAACGUGCUGAAGAUCCUCUAUGCUGGCUGCCAUGUCAGCCUGAGCCUGUGCCAGCACCUGGGAAGAAGCCAACGACUGUGGGGUUCCCUCAUGCAGCUCUCAAAGGGCGAGGUAGGACUAACCACAGCACCAGUGGUAGGGUAGGAGUGUGGGCAAGCAGUACACAUUCC